UACGUAGGGUGCAAGCGUUAAUCGGAAUUACUGGGCGUAAAGCGUGCGCAGGCGGUUCGUUGUGUCCGAUGUGAAAGCCCCGGGCUUAACCUGGGAAUGGCAUUGGAAACUGGCGAGCUUGAGUGCGGCAGAGGGGGUGGAAUUCCGCGUGUAGGCAGUGAAAUGCGUAGAGAUGACGGAGGAACACCGAUGGCGAAGGCAGCCCCUGGGUCGACACUGACGCUCAGGCACGAAAGCGUGGGGAGCAAACAGG
rnacentral:rRNA from 1 species